UACGGAAGGGGCAAGCGUUGUUCGGAAUCAUUGGGCGUAAAGGGCGCGUAGGUGGUUCUGUAUGUCUACCGUGAAAGCAUACAGCUCAACUGUAUUUUGUCGGUAGAAACUGCAGGACUUGAGGCUGGGAGGGGCUGGUGGAAUUCCCUGUGUAGCGGUGAAAUGCGUAGAGAUGGGGGAAGAACACCGUGCGAGGCGGCAGCUCGU
rnacentral:rRNA from 1 species